rnacentral:rRNA from 1 species
UGGGGAAUUUUGGACAAUGGGCGAAAGCCUGAUCCAGCAAUGCCGCGUGUGUGAAGAAGGCCUUCGGGUUGUAAAGCACUUUUGUCCGGAAAGAAAUCCUCUGGGUUAAUACCUCGGGGGGAUGACGGUACCGGAAGAAUAAGCACCGGCUAACUACGUGCCAGCAGCCGCGGUAAUACGUAGGGUGCAAGCGUUAAUCGGAAUUACUGGGCGUAAAGCGUGCGCAGGCGGUUUUGUAAGACGGAUGUGAAAUCCCCGGGCUUAACCUGGGAACUGCAUUCGUGACUGCAAGGCUAGAGUAUGGCAGAGGGGGGUAGAAUUCCACGUGUAGCAGUGAAAUGCGUAAGAUGUGGAGGAAUACCGAUGGCGAAGGCAGCCCCCUGGGCCAAUACUGACGCUNAUGCACGAAAGCGUGGGGAGCAAACAGGAUUAGAUACCCUGGUAGUCCACGCCCUAAACGAUGUCAACUAGUUGUUGGGGAUUCAUUUCCUUAGUAACGUAGCUAACGCGUGAAGUUACCGCCNGGGGAGUACGGUCGCAAAGAUUAAAAACUCAAAGGAAUUGACGGGGUCAUAGCUGUUUCC